UACGAGGGAUGCAAGCGUUAUCCGGAAUUAUUGGGCGUAAAGCGUUUGUAGGCGGGCGAGUGUGUCUAAUGUUAAAUCUUAAAGCUCAACUUUGAAAUUGCGUUAAAAACUGCUUGUCUUGAGUAUGGUAGGGGUAAAGGGAAUUCCCAGUGUAGCGGUGAAAUGCGUAGAUAUUGGGAAGAACACUAAACAGCGAAGGCACUUUACUAGGCUAAUACUGACGCUGAGAAACGAAAGGUAAGGUAGCGAAACGGAUUAGAUACCCGUGUAGUCUUACCCGUAAACUAUGGACACUAAACGGUAAAUUUUUAAUUUACUGUUAAAGCUAACGCGUUAAGUGUCCCGCCUGGGGAGUAUGCUUGCAAAAGUGAAACUCAAAGGAAUUGACGGGGGCCCGCACAAGCGGUGGAGCAUGUGGUUUAAUUCGACGGUACACGAAGAACCUUACCAGGAUUUGACAUGCUAGAUAGUUGCUUGAAAGAGUAACGUGCCGUAAGGAAUCUAGACACAGGUGGUGCAUGGCUGUCGUCAGUUCGUGUUGUGAAAUGUUGGGUUAAGUCCCGCAACGAACGCAACCCUUGUCUUUAGUUAUUUUCUAAAGAGACUGCCUGUAAUAAACAGGAGGAAGGUAAGGAUGAGGUCAAGUCAUCAUGCCCCUUAUGUCCUGGGCUACACACGUGCUACAAUGGGAAAGACAAUGAGCUGCAAAUCUGUAAAUUUAAGCAAAUCUCUUAAACUUUCUCGUAGUUCGGAUUGUGGGCUGCAACUCGCCCACAUGAAGUUGGAAUCGCUAGUAAUCGCCAGUCAGCUAUAUGGCGGUGAAUCCGUUCCCGGGCCU
rnacentral:rRNA from 1 species